GAUGAACGCUGGCGGCGUGCCUAAUACAUGCCAGUCGAGCGAACAGACGAGGAGCUUGCUCCUCUGACGUUAGCGGCGGACGGGUGAGUAACACGUGGAUAACCUACCUAUAAGACUGGGAUAACUUCGGGAAACCCGAGCUAAUACCGGAUAAUAUAUUGAACCGCAUGGUUCAAUAGUGAAAGACGGUUUUGCUGUCACUUAUAGAUGGAUCCGCGCCGCAUUAGCUAGUUGGUAAGGUAACGGCUUACCAAGGCAACGAUGCGUAGCCGACCUGAGAGGGUGAUCGGCCACACUGGAACUGGGACACGGUCCAGACUCCUACGGGAGGCAGCAGUAGGGAAUCUUCCGCAAUGGGCGAAAGCCUGACGGAGCAACGCCGCGUGAGUGAUGAAGGUCUUCGGAUCGUAAAACUCUGUUAUUAGGGAAGAACAAAUGUGUAAGUAACUAUGCACGUCUUGACGGUACCUAAUCAGAAAGCCACGGCUAACUACGUG
rnacentral:rRNA from 1 species